rnacentral:RNase_P_RNA from 1 species
CGAGUAAACCAGACGGCAGCGCUGCACCUUGGUGUGGUGAGGAAAGUCCGGGCUUCGUAAGGGAAUGGUAACUGCUAACGGCAGCCGGGGGCAACCCCAGGGAUAGUGCAACAGAAAUAAACCGCCGAACGGCGCUGCGGCGUGCGUGGCAAGGAUGGAAAGGCGGGGUAAGAGCCCACCAGCGCACUGGCAACUUUGCGGCUAUGUAAACCCUACCAGAAGCAACACCCGUAUGGGGCAGCACUUUACUGUGCAAGCGUACCCUGCGCGCCUCGGAGGUGGCAUGAGCUGUGUGGCAACACCCAGCCAAGAUAGAUUGCCGUUUAAUACAGAACCCGGCUUAUGGUUUGGUCGCUAU